ensembl:snRNA U7 U7 small nuclear RNA
AAGUGUUACAGCUCUUUUAGAAUUUGUCUAGCAUGCUUUCUCGUUUUUGCCAGAAAGCCCAU